rnacentral:lncRNA from 1 species
GGCACCGGAAGGUGAGCUUUCUCGCUGGCUCCCGAACACGCCCUGUGUGGAUCUGGUGACGGCGGCUCUGUGAGUCAUGUCGCUCUGAGUCACGCGCCUGUGACUCGAGCUUUUUUUGGGAGUCCAAAGGGUACAGAAAAACAGUCGUGAUGGCAGAGGCAGGGUGGGGAGGAGGAGGGAGGAGGAGAAGCGGGAGGGGGAGUGCGCGAGGGUUAGCUCCAGAGAGAAACCGACGUUUCUAGAAAAAGCCCGGGGAGGCAGCCCGGCACCCGGGACGUCCUGCAGCGGGCCGCGCGCGGGGAACUUCAGUAAACGUCUCUCCCAGGGAGGGAGGGGGAAGUGACCGGGCACAGGGACGGCAGCGGCUGUGUGCGCCCGGGCAGUGGCCUUUUCCGCCAGGACUGACUGCUCUCGGGGACCAGGGGUUGCCCCAGCUGUGGGGCCACGGCACCCAGUGACUGAGACAUGGUGGAGUGAGCAGUCCCCCAACACGUCCACGGCGAGAGGCUGAGACCCCUGCCCUUGUCCGGCCUGCUGUUCCGUGUUCUGGAAAGCGCCGGCAACGCCUCGCUGUCCCGCCUGGAGAGGGCUCCUGACCUAGAAUGCAGAGUGCCAGAACGUGCGAGAAGACCGCUGAGUCAUCGUCCACGCUCAGUUCGUUCCGCCCUCGGAUCCGUCCUUUGCAGGCACCCGGAGAGGGCGGCUUCAGAGCUGGCACCAACGGCAACGCGGCAGAGCCCCAGCAACAGAGUCGGGAUUGGCAGCACCGUCGAACGCCUGAGCGCAAGGUGCAACGAACGUUUGUUCCCCAUGGAGGUGACGUCAGAGAACUCGGUGGGGAAAGCUGGCUGUCCUUGGUCACAGAUUAUAUAACCAAAAAAGGCUCAAGUUUAUGCGCAGGGACACAGGGUACAGCUGCAUCUGUCACUUGGAGUCAGGCCCGUUCCCUUCAGAAAGAACCUGGGCCUUUAGUUCCCUUCGCCCUCCUUGACCCGGCCAGCGCGUCCCUUCCUGCGGGCUCAGGUCAUGGUUGUUAAGCUCCCCAAAGACCCCAAGCCCUCCAGCUCCGAGCCGUCUUUACUGUUUGAAACGGGACAUCAAGGAGAGAAAGGUGACGGCAAGGCGUUUAUGACCACUGCAGACAGAAUUGUACCCACCGGAGAGCAUUCGCGUGACAAUACCCCGCUGGGCCGCUUUGCUUUUGCGGGCCCCCUCUGAAAAUGGUGUCAGCCACGGCCAACCCGGGGGGACUUGCAGGCGCGCACCCUGACGACGGCCGGGGACGAGUGGUUUUAGUGUCCUGCCUCUUCUACAACGUAGGGGCUUUCACAAAGGGAGAGGAGAGAGACUGCACGUCCAUAUCAAGGCUGCAGUGGCGAUCUGUAGCGUUAGUGACAAAGGCAGGCGGAAAUAAAAACAAAGUGGAGAUGCCGGGGAUCGAACCC